CCUACGGGUGGCAGCAGUGAGGAAUAUUGGUCAAUGGACGAGAGUCUGAACCAGCCAAGUAGCGUGAAGGAUGACUGCCCUAUGGGUUGUAAACUUCUUUUAUAUGGGAAUAAAAUGUUCCACGUGUGGGAUUUUGUAUGUACCAUAUGAAUAAGGAUCGGCUAACUCCGUGCCAGCAGCCGCGGUAAUACGGAGGAUCCGAGCGUUAUCCGGAUUUAUUGGGUUUAAGGGGAGCGUAGGUGGAUUGUUAAGUCAGUUGUGAAAGUUUGCGGCUCAACCGUAAAAUUGCAGUUGAUACUGGCAGUCUUGAGUACAGUAGAGGUGGGCGGAAUUCGUGGUGUAGCGGUGAAAUGCUUAGAUAUCACGAAGAACUCCGAUUGCGAAGGCAGUUCACUGGACUGCAACUGACACUGAGGCUCGAAAGUGUGGGUAUCAAACAGGAUUAGAUACCCCUGUAGUC
rnacentral:rRNA from 1 species